rnacentral:rRNA from 1 species
UACGUAGGGUGCGAGCGUUAAUCGGAAUUACUGGGCGUAAAGCGUGCGCAGGCGGUUUUGUAAGCCAGAUGUGAAAGCCCCGGGCUUAACCUGGGAAUGGCAUUUGGGACUGCAAGGCUUGAGUGCGGCAGAGGAGACUGGAAUUCCUGGUGUAGCAGUGAAAUGCGUAGAUAUCAGGAGGAAUACCGAUGGCGAAGGCAGGUCUCUGGGCUGACACUGACGCUCAUGCACGAAAGCGUGGGGAGCAAACAGGAUUAGA